UUCAGCACACAUUUCAACAUUCACCGCAUUGAAUCAACACCUCACUCCUAACUUUUGCCUACCCGCACCUAAAUAUUUUUGCCUAUCCAAUUCAACCUAUCAGGAUACUAUCAAGCUCGAUAUCAAUGAAUCAAAUCAACAAAAUCAUUUUUAUCAACUUUUAACUUCCGCCCCACAACAAUCAAUUUUAAUUCUCAAACGA
rnacentral:lncRNA from 1 species